GAUGAAGAACGCAGCGAAAUGCGAUAAGUAAUGUGAAUUGCAGAAUUCAGUGAAUCAUCGAAUCUUUGAACGCACCUUGCACCCUUUGGUAUUCCGAAGGGUAUGCUCGUUUGAGUGUCAUUGUACUCUCACACUUCCGAUCGUUUGGAUCGGGAGCGGUGGACUUGGGUGUUGCUGCUUUACUGUGGCUCACCUUAAAUGCAUUAGUGCACCUUUCGGUUGGACAUAGUACGGCGUGAUAAGUGUCUUCGCCGGCACCUCACAGAGGGUGGCUGAUCGGGAGCUCUGUGCUUCAUACCGUCCUCGGACAACAGCUGAAAACUUGACCUCAAAUCGAGUAGGACUACCCGCUGAACUUAAGCAUAUCAAUAAGCGGAGGA
rnacentral:misc_RNA from 1 species